rnacentral:rRNA from 1 species
UACGGGGGGGGCAAGCGUUGUUCGGAAUUACUGGGCGUAAAGGGCGCGUAGGCGGCCUGCUAAGUCGAACGUGAAAUCCCCGAGCUCAACUCGGGAACUGCGUCCGAUACUGGCAGGCUUGAAUCCGGGGAGAGGGAUGCGGAAUUCCAGGUGUAGCGGUGAAAUGCGUAGAUAUGUGGAGGAACACCAGUGGCGAAGGCGGGUCUCUGGGCAACUACUGACGCUGAGGAGCGAAAGCGUGGGGAGCGAACAGG